rnacentral:sRNA from 1 species
CUACUUAACUCUGGUCCCAGGCAGCCAAGACAAAGUGAAAGGCAAGGCAGCAUGAGCCGAUCACCCCUCAAUCCCAGCCAACUCCGAUCAGUGGGCUCCCAGGAUGCCCUGGCCCCCUUGCCUCCACCUGCUCCCCAGAAUCCCUCCACCCGCUCUAGGGACCCUUUGUGUGGAUCUCUGCCUUGGGGCCUCAGCUGUCUUCUGGCUCUGCAGUCUCUCCCCAGGAGGACUCUCUUACUCCCCUUCUCAGCUCCUGGCCUCCAGCUUCUUUUCAUGUGGUGUGUCUACCAUCCUGCAAACUUGGAUGGGCAGCAGGCUGCCUCUUGUCCAGGCUCCAUCCUUAGAGUUCCUUAUUCCUGCUCUGGUGCUGACCAGCCAGAAGCUACCUCUGGCCAUCCAGACACCUGGAAACUCCUCCCUCAUGCUGCACCUGUGUAGGGGACCUAGCUGCCAUGGCCUGGGGCACUGGAACACUUCUCUCCAGGAGGUGUCUGGGGCAGUGGUAGUAUCUGGGCUGCUGCAGGGCAUGAUGGGGCU